UGGGCCUCGUGGAGGACACCAGCAGGCGCCCCUUGCAUGGGAGCUGGGUAAGCCAGGUCCACGCCUCAAGGAAGCACCCUGGUUGGAGACGAAUAACAAUGUUCUGCCAUGAUGCAAUAAGGCUCUGGAGGUGACCAGGUCACAGCCAGCACGGGACAUCCUGUUCUGCCUCCACCACCACUGCAGCAGAAUUCGAGGGGGUGCUCCAGUGAGACCUGCCACGCCCACAGCUGCCACUCUACUCAGAGCUCCGAUGUCCAGACCUUGUGAAUCCACAGGCUCGUGACAGAUGCAUCUCCUCGGGUCAAGCGACCCACCAAUUGUGUUCACAUCUAGUGCUUUUUCUAGAAAUGUCUCCACCUCGAAUUUUAGACCCACCCUGGAUUCAGUCCCUGUGUCCCUAGUACCUUUUAUAUGGCUCACCCUGGGUUGGGGACGUGGGGGGUGGAGUCAAAAGAGGCCUGUGCAUCAGUCUGUCUGGAUGUUGUCGUGGCAGAGCCUGAACAGGGAAGCCUCUGAGCUGCCUUACCUUGUCGCUAACACCACUUUACAGACGCCGUGUUAGAACCCAUUUAAAGCAUUCAAGCAUAUAAUCAAAUUUCAGUAAUGAGUUAUUAAUUAAGCAGGGGCAACCAAUUCUCUACUAACUGCCUCAUAAACAAUCGACAGGAGAUUUGUGAAUUUUGACUUCCUGACACUAUUAAACAAAUCAAUAUUAGGUUUCAGACACAGCAAUUCAGACAGUUUUCUCUGUUAUUUGGCAACCAUCUGCCUGGAAUACUAAUGAAAGAAUUAAGAGCUGGAGAUUUUGCAUGUAUUCCAUCAAAAAGAUCCUUAUCUGUGGGGAAUUGGGGCCUGAUUUGCAUGGAAGAAGACGUCGCUUUUGUAGGUACAAUUUUUCUCAAUAUGUCACUGAUUAGUAUUUAUAAAAGCACUGGGCAGUGGGACGGCCAUCAAGCUUCAUAACAAGCAGGCAGAGUCCUAGUGGAGAUAGCUGAGAACAAAGCAAGACGUUGUUUAUAUAUUUUGCAGACUGGUUAAUUUAUAGCUAAACUAACC